rnacentral:rRNA from 1 species
UACAGAGGGUGCGAGCGUUAAUCGGAAUUACUGGGCGUAAAGCGUGCGUAGACGGUUAUUUAAGUCGGAUGUGAAAGCCCCGGGCUCAACCUGGGAAUUGCAUUCGAGACUGAAUAGCUAGGGUGCGGUAGAGGGAAGCGGAAUUUCCGGUGUAGCGGUGAAAUGCGUAGAUAUCGGAAGGAACAUCAGUGGCGAAAGCGGCGGACUGGGCACCUUCUGACGCUGAGGCGCGAAAGCCAGGGGAGCAAACGGG